rnacentral:rRNA from 1 species
AUGAGCAUUCGUGUUAUCGUGGCAAACUCACUGGCUGCCAAGGCAAAGGAAGCUACGAAACAGAUUAGAUGGGCGAGACCAGCUAAAGGGGUGAUUAAACUCAAUGUUGACGCCAGCUAUCAUGUGGAUGAGGGCGCGGGAGCUACUGGAGCUGUCUUACGAGAUAGCGCAGGAGCGUUUAUUGCUGCUUCUUGUUCCUUUCGACAGUAUGCCAUGGAUGUUCCCUCUAUAAAAGCGUUAGCACUUUUGGAAGGACUGCGAUUGGCAGAGCAUUUGGGUAUUUAUGCACUGGUUGUGGAGUCCGACUCACAGGAGAUAGUACAAGCUAUGAAGGAUCCUUCGGAGUACCGUGCUUCGGCUGCGGUGUUGACGGAUGAUUGCCGACAGGUGUUGAGUUCCUUCGGCAGGGCGACGAUUGUUCACUGUGCUAGGGAGAGUAAUGGGGUAGCGCAUUGGCUAGCCAGGACUAGUUAUAGAAGGAAGUUAAAUGAGGUCUGGCAAGAGCAUCCCCCUGAUUUCUUAAUUCCCUCCCUGAUAUGA